UUAAUCCUGAUGUGUUCGUCAUCAAGCUAAUAGUUCUGACCGAACAUCUAUAUAUCCGGGAGCUCGGUGUUUUCGUACAGCGUGCAAGCCUCGUUUCAAUCAAGAGGACGCACAAACUACGAAACAGAGCACCCACCUGCUUAGAGCGGGUUCAGGACAUUGGAUAUAAUAUGACGGCACGAUUGGGAUUAAC
rnacentral:other from 1 species